rnacentral:rRNA from 1 species
UACGUAGGGUCCGAGCGUUGUCCGGAAUUAUUGGGCGUAAAGAGCUCGUAGGCGGUUUGUCGCGUCGUCCGUGAAAACUUGGGGCUCAACCCCAAGCUUGCGGCGAGUACGGGCAGACUUGAGUACUGCAGGGGAGGACUGGAAUUCCUGGUGUAGCGGUGAAAUGCGCAGAUAUCAGGAGGAACACCGGUGGCGAAGGCGGGUCUCUGGGCAGUAACUGACGCUGAGGAGCGAAAGCAUGGGGAGCGAACAGG